rnacentral:rRNA from 1 species
GUGGGGAAUCUUCCGCAAUGGACGAAAGUCUGACGGUGCAACGCCGCGUGAGUGAAGAAGGUUUUCGGAUCGUAAAGCUCUUUCGUUAGGGACGAACGUGCUCUUUGUGAAUAAUGAGGAGUAAUGACGGUACCUAAAUAAGAAGCCACGGCUAACUACGUGCCAGCAGCCGCGGUAAUACGUAGGUGGCAAGCGUUGUCCGGAAUUAUUGGGCGUAAAGCGCGCGCAGGCGGGAUAUCAAGUCUGUCUUAAAAGUGCGAGGCUCAACCUCGUGAGGGGACAGAAACUGGUAUUCUUGAGUGUCGGAGAGGAAAGUGGAAUUCCAAGUGUAGCGGUGAAAUGCGUAGAGAUUUGGAAGAACACCAGUGGCGAAGGCGACUUUCUGGACGAUGUCUGACGCUGAGGCGCGAAAGCUAGGGGAGCGAACGGGAUUAGAUACCCUGGUAGUCC